UAGCUCAGCUGGAUAGAGUACCUGGCUACGAACCAGGCGGUCGGAGGUUCGAAUCCUCCCG
rnacentral:tRNA from 1 species